rnacentral:rRNA from 1 species
UACAGAGGGUGCAAGCGUUGUUCGGAAUUACUGGGCGUAAAGCGCGUGUAGGCUGCGGUGUAAGUCAGGUGUGAAAGCCCUCAGCUUAACUGAGGAAGUGCACUUGAUACUGCAUCGCUUGAGUGUCGGAGGGGGUGGCGGAAUUCCCGGUGUAGAGGUGAAAUUCGUAGAUAUCGGGAGGAACACCUGUGGCGAAGGCGGCCACCUGGACGAGCAACUCGACGCUGAGACGCGAAAGCGUGGGUAGCAAACAGG